AUUGAACGCUGGCGGCAUGCCUUACACAUGCAAGUCGAACGGUAACGCGGGGCAACCUGGCGACGAGUGGCGAACGGGUGAGUAAUGCAUCGGAACGUGCCUGGUAGUGGGGGAUAACUGCUCGAAAGAGCAGCUAAUACCGCAUACGACCUGAGGGUGAAAGGGGGGGAUCGCAAGACCUCUCGCUAUCAGCGCGGCCGAUGUCGGAUUAGCUAGUUGGUGGGGUAAAGGCCCACCAAGGCAACGAUCCGUAGCUGGUCUGAGAGGACGACCAGCCACACUGGGACUGAGACACGGCCCAGACUCCUACGGGAGGCAGCAGUGGGGAAUUUUGGACAACGGACGCAAGUCUGACCCAGCCAUGCCGCGUGCAGGAUGAAGGCGUUAUGCGUUGUAAACUGCUUUUAUACAGGAAGAAACGACUCUUGCGAGAGGCAUUGACGGUACUGUAUGAAUAAGCACCGGCUAACUCUGUGCCAGCCGCCGCCGUAAUAC
rnacentral:rRNA from 1 species